UACGAAGGGGGCUAGCGUUGCUCGGAAUCACUGGGCGUAAAGGGUGCGUAGGCGGGUCUUUAAGUCAGGGGUGAAAUCCUGGAGCUCAACUCCAGAACUGCCUUUGAUACUGAGGAUCUUGAGUUCGGGAGAGGUGAGUGGAACUGCGAGUGUAGAGGUGAAGUUCGUAGAUAUUCGCAAGAACAACCAGUGGCGAAGGCGGCUCACUGGCCCGAGUACUGACGCUGAGGCACGAAAGCGUGG
rnacentral:rRNA from 1 species